rnacentral:rRNA from 1 species
GAUGAACGCUGACAGAAUGCUUAACACGUGCAAGUCAACUUGAACUUCGGUUUGGGUGGCGGACGGGUGAGUAACGCGUAAAGAACUUGCCUCACAGAUAGGGACAACAUUUGGAAACGAAUGCUAAUACCUGAUAUUAUGAUUUUAGGGCAUCCUAGAAUUAUGAAAGCUAUAUGCACUGUGAGAGAGCUUUGCGUCCCACUAGCCAGUUGGAGAGGUAACGGCUCACCAAGGCGAUGAUGGGUAGCCGGCCUGAGAGGGUGAUCGGCCACAAGGGGACUGAGACACGGCCCUUACUCCUACGGGAGGCAGCAGUGGGGAAUAUUGGACAAUGGACCAAGAGUCUGAUCCAGCAAUUCUGUGUGCACGAUGAAGUUUUUCGGAAUGUAAAGUGCUUUCAGUUGGGAAGAAAAAAAUGACGGUACCAACAGAAGAAGUGA